AGUGAACGCUGGCGGCAGGCCUAAUACAUGCAAGUCGAACGGCAGCACGGCAGAGCUUGCUCUGUGGGUGGCGAGUGGCGGACGGGUGAGGAAUACAUGGGAAUCUGCCCAGUCGUGGGGGAUAACGUAGGGAAACUUACGCUAAUACCGCAUGCGCCCUUCGGGGAAAGCCGGGGACCUUCGGGCCUGGCGCGAUUGGAUGAGCCCAUGUCGGAUUAGCUAGUUGGCGGGGUAAUGGCCCACCAAGGCGACGAUCCGUAGCUGGUCUGAGAGGAUGAUCAGCCACACUGGAACUGAGACACGGUCCAGACUCCUACGGGAGGCAGCAGUAGGGAAUAUUGGACAAUGGGCGCAAGCCUGAUCCAGCCAUGCCGCGUGAGUGAAGAAGGCCCUCGGGUUGUAAAGCUCUUUUGUCCGGAAAGAAAAGCGCCGGGUUAAUACCCUGGUGCCCUGACGGUACCGGAAGAAUAAGCACCGGCUAACUUCGUGCCAGCAGCCGCGGUAAUC
rnacentral:rRNA from 1 species